rfam:Pedobacter steynii strain DX4, complete genome.
UAAGGGAUGCCGAAAACCUUGAAAAGAGUAGGAA